rnacentral:rRNA from 1 species
AUUGAACGCUGGCGGCAUGCUUUACACAUGCAAGUCGAACGGUAACAGGCCUUCGGGUGCUGACGAGUGGCGAACGGGUGAGUAAUGCAUCGGAACGUACCCAGAGGUGGGGGAUAACGCAGCGAAAGCUGUGCUAAUACCGCAUGUGAUCUGAGGAUGAAAGCGGGGGACCGAGCAGCAAUGUUUGGCCUCGCGCCUUUGGAGCGGCCGAUGUCGGAUUUGCUAGUUGGUGGGGUAAAGGCCUACCAAGGCGACGAUCCGUAGCUGGUCUGAGAGGACGACCAGCCACACUGGGACUGAGACACGGCCCAGACUCCUACGGGAGGCAGCAGUGGGGAAUUUUGGACAAUGGGCGCAAGCCUGAUCCAGCAAUGCCGCGUGCGGGAAGAAGGCCUUCGGGUUGUAAACCGCUUUUGGCAGGAACGAAACGGUGUCCGCUAAUACCGGGCGCUAAUGACGGUACCUGCAGAAUAAGCACCGGCUAACUACGU